AAUUUAAAUGGCCGCGGUAUUUUGACCGUGCAAAGGUAGCAUAAUAAUUAGUUUUUUAAUUG
rnacentral:tRNA from 1 species